rnacentral:rRNA from 1 species
GWYGGCGACCGGCGCACGGGUGAGUAACACGUAUCCAACCUGCCGACAACACUGGGAUAGCCUUUCGAAAGAAAGAUUAAUACCGGAUGGCAUAGUUUUCCCGCAUGGGAURAUUAUUAAAGAAUUUCGGUUGUCGAUGGGGAUGCGUUCCAUUAGGCAGUUGGCGGGGUAACGGCCCACCAAACCAACGAUGGAUAGGGGUUCUGAGAGGAAGGUCCCCCACAUUGGAACUGAGACACGGUCCAAACUCCUACGGGAGGCAGCAGUGAGGAAUAUUGGUCAAUGGACGAGAGUCUGAACCAGCCAAGUAGCGUGAAGGAUGACUGCCCUAUGGGUUGUAAACUUCUUUUAUACGGGAAUAAAGUGAGCCACGUGUGGCUUUUUGUAUGUACCGUAUGAAUAAGGAUCGGCUAACUCCGUGCCAGCAGCCGCGGUAAUACGGAGGAUCCGAGCGUUAUCCGGAUUUAUUGGGUUUAAAGGGAGCGUAGGCGGGUUGUUAAGUCAGUUGUGAAAGUUUGCGGCUCAACCGUAAAAUUGCAGUUGAUACUGGCGACCUUGAGUGCAACAGAGGUAGGCGGAAUUCGUGGUGUAGCGGUGAAAUGCUUAGAUAUCACGAAGAACUCCGAUU